GCUACCGUAGCUUAAUGGAUAGAGCAGUCGCCUCCUAAGCGACCGAAAGAGGUUCGACUCCUCUCGGUAGCA
rnacentral:tRNA from 1 species